UAGAGUUUGAUCCUGGCUCAGGAUGAACGCUAGCGGCAGGCCUAAUACAUGCAAGUCGAGGGGUAAGAGUCAGCUUGCUGACUACACGACCGGCGCACGGGUGCGUAACGCGUAUGCAACCUACCUUUAACAGAGGAAUAGCCCCGAGAAAUCGGGAUUAAUACCACAUAACAUUAUGAUAUGGCAUCAUAUUAUAAUUAAAACUCCGGUGGUUAAAGAUGGGCAUGCGUGACAUUAGCUAGUUGGUGAGGUAACUGCUCACCAAGGCUACGAUGUCUAGGGGUUCUGAGAGGAUGAUCCCCCACACUGGUACUGAGACACGGACCAGACUCCUACGGGAGGCAGCAGUAAGGAAUAUUGCGCAAUGGAGGCAACUCUGACGCAGCCAUGCCGCGUGCAGGAUUGAAGGCCUUAUGGGUCGUAAACUGCUUUUAUUUAGGAAUAAACUUUCGUACGUGU
rnacentral:rRNA from 1 species